rnacentral:rRNA from 1 species
UACGGAGGGUGCAAGCGUUAUCCGGAUUCACUGGGUUUAAAGGGUGCGUAGGCGGGCAGGUAAGUCCGUGGUGAAAUCUCUGAGCUUAACUCAGAAACUGCCAUGGAUACUAUUUGUCUUGAAUAUUGUGGAGGUAAGCGGAAUAUGUCAUGUAGCGGUGAAAUGCGUAGAGAUUGGAAAGAACACCGAUGGCGAAGGCACUUUACUGGGCUAUUACUAACACUCAGAGACGAAAGCUAGGGUAGCAAAUGGG